rnacentral:rRNA from 1 species
UGGGGAAUAUUGCACAAUGGGCGCAAGCCUGAUGCAGCCAUGCCGCGUGUGUGAAGAAGGCCUUCGGGUUGUAAAGCACUUUCAGCGAGGAGGAAGGUGGUGAGCUUAAUACGCUCAUCAAUUGACGUUACUCGCAGAAGAAGCACCGGCUAACUCCGUGCCAGCAGCCGCGGUAAUACGGAGGGUGCAAGCGUUAAUCGGAAUUACUGGGCGUAAAGCGCACGCAGGCGGUUUGUUAAGUCAGAUGUGAAAUCCCCGGGCUCAACCUGGGAACUGCAUUUGAAACUGGCAAGCUAGAGUCUCGUAGAGGGGGGUAGAAUUCCAGGUGUAGCGGUGAAAUGCGUAGAGAUCUGGAGGAAUACCGGUGGCGAAGGCGGCCCCCUGGACGAAGACUGACGCUCAGGUGCGAAAGCGUGGGGCAGCAAACAGGAUUAGAUACCCUGGUAGUCCACGCUGUAAACGAUGUCGAUUUGGAGGUUGUGCCCUUGAGGCGUGGCUUCCGGAGCUAACGCGUUAAAUCGACCGCCUGGGGAGUACGGCCGCAAGGUUAAAACUCAAAGGAAUU